GUGAAAAUAAAUUUAGUAGAAUGCUGUAAAAAAUAUUUUUGUAAACCUUAACUUCAUCAUGACAAGAAAACUGAACAUUCUGACAUUUUAGAAUUCCAACAGCCGUCAUUCCAACAUGUUAGAAAUAUUUUAAAACAAUGUUACCACAGCAUUUUCAUAACUUUAUACAAACAGUGAAGUCCCAGUGCUGUUGAAUUGUGAAUUGUUGUUAAAUAAAUAAAACAAGCAUGCUUUUGCUCAAAAACAUGUGAUGGAUUAAUUAGAUGUUUUAGAGAUGCAACUGUAAGAUGGAAUACAUUUAUUAUUUCUGACUAAGUGCUAUUUAUUUAUAACACCAUAUUUAGAGAAAACUGCACUGAGAUCUCAGGCCUGAAGUGAAGAGCAGUGCUGGCAGGAUCAUGCUUUGCAGAAGGGAUCGAUGCUUUGGAGCUGGAGAUGGGAUGAAAUGCACAGUGGAGCCGUCAAACCCACAGCACAUCUCCCAUCUGAGAGAAUCCUGCUGCGGCAAAACAAAGACAUCAUGCCCUCCCUACAAAGACUGCUACACUAAACACACACCAAAGAAAUAAGAAGUGAACAGGGUAAGAUGGCACAUGGAUGCACAACACAGUGGCAUUAACAAAUCAAACAACACCAGCUGACAACAGCAUUGACAGAGAUUGGCCACUAGGGGUGUAAUGCAAGGGUGUCUAUGAUCCCAGGUGAAAAACAAGUGCACUUCCAUAAUGUAAUUAAAGUGCUCUAUUUCUGCACACUCAUUUUGAUUCUUUAGUACUUAAGAUAAACUUAAGAUCAUUUAAGUGUACUCAAAUGUGCUAUUUUGGAACGCCGUGAAUAUGAGCUAAAAUCCUCUUUUAACAUAUUAUCUCUGUAUUUAAAAAAUAAAAAUAUUUAGUCACCACAUGUACACUUGAGUGUACUAGUGUAUGAAAGAUGGUUAAAGUGUACUACAAGUUGUAACUAAAUACAUUUUACACAAUUUGAGUACACUUAGAUGAUCU
ensembl:lncRNA